rnacentral:misc_RNA from 1 species
UCCGGUUUGUCACCGGCAGUCUGGCGUGAGUCCCCAACUUAAUGCUGGCAACACGCCACGGGGGUUGCGCUCGUUGCGGGACUUAACCCAACAUCUCACGACACGAGCUGACGACAGCCAUGCAGCAUCUGUGGUGCACCCUCGAAGGUCACACGUUUCCGUGCGCUUGCAGCACCAUGUCAAGUCCAGGUAAGGUGGGGAUGACGUCAAGGUACGGAC